GAAAUCCUGCGGUGUGCGUUACGUUUUUUGUGAUAAACCCACAUUGAUACAGCGGGAGCUGACGUUGUUCGCCGGAAGUCAAGCCCGCUUCGACGGGAAGGUUGAAGGCAACACUCGGCACCCAAACCUGCCGAGAGGCGGGUGUUAUCACUCAGGCGGACGGCAUCUCGGGAUUUUU
rnacentral:other from 1 species